rnacentral:misc_RNA from 1 species
AACCUUAUGGACCUGCGGGCGUAUACCUGCGGAAGGAUCAUUACACAACAAAAUAUGAAGGUCUGGCUUCGCGGCCGGCUGAAGUAUUUUUUUUCACCCAUGUCUUUUGCGCACUUGUUGUUUCCUGGGCGGGUUCGCCCGCCACCAGGACCAAACCAUAAACCUUUUCUUUAUGUAGUUGCAAUCAGCGUCAGUAAAAACAAUGUAAUUAUUACAACUUUUAACAAUGGAUCUCAGAUC